GACGAACGCUGGCGGCGUGCCUAAUACAUGCAAGUAGAACGCUGAAGGAGGAGCUUGCUUCUCUGGAUGAGUUGCGAACGGGUGAGUAACGCGUAGGUAACCUGCCUGGUAGCUGGGGAUAACUAUUGGAAACGAUAGCUAAUACCGCAUAAGAGUAGAUGUUGCAUGACAUUUGCUUAAAAGGUGCAAUUGCAUCACUACCAGAUGGACCUGCGUUGUAUUAGCUAGUUGGUGAGGUAACGGCUCACCAAGGCGACGAUACAUAGCCGACCUGAGAGGGUGAUCGGCCACACUGGGACUGAGACACGGCCCAGACUCCUACGGGAGGCAGCAGUAGGGAAUCUUCGGCAAUGGACGGAAGUCUGACCGAGCAACGCCGCGUGAGUGAAGAAGGUUUUCGGAUCGUAAAGCUCUGUUGUAAGAGAAGAACGAGUGUGAGAGUGGAAAGUUCACACUGUGACGGUAUCUUACCAGAAAGAGACGGCUAACUACGUG
rnacentral:rRNA from 1 species